rnacentral:rRNA from 1 species
GACGAACGCUGGCGGCGUGCCUAAUACAUGCAAGUCGAGCGAAGUUUUUCUGGUGCUUGCACUAGAAAAACUUAGCGGCGAACGGGUGAGUAACACGUAAAGAACCUGCCUCAUAGACUGGGACAACUAUUGGAAACGAUAGCUAAUACCGGAUAACAGUAUUUCUCGCAUGAGAGAUAUUUAAAAGUUGGUUAUGCUAACACUAUGAGAUGGCUUUGCGGUGCAUUAGCUAGUUGGUGGGGUAAAGGCCCACCAAGGCGGCGAUGCAUAGCCGACCUGAGAGGGUGAUCGGCCACACUGGGACUGAGACACGGCCCAGACUCCUACGGGAGGCAGCAGUAGGGAAUCUUCCGCAAUGGGCGAAAGCCUGACGGAGCAACGCCGCGUGAGUGAAGAAGGAUUUCGGUUCGUAAAGCUCUGUUGUUAGGGAAGAAUGGAUAUGUAGUAACUAUACAUGUAAGAGACGGUACCUAACCAGAAAGCCACGGCUAACUACGUG